rnacentral:miRNA from 1 species
CUACUGCCAUGUUGCCGUUCAUGCUUAACCAACUUGAUCUCACUUGGUUAUGGCCUCAAAGCAUGAGAGCAGCAGCAGCAGCAGCAGCAGCAGCAGCAGCAGCAGCAGCAGCAGCAGCAGCAGCAAUGAUUCGGAUAUGCCCAAGAGUAGCUAUGAAGUAC